CUGCAUGGCUGUCGUCAGCUCGUGUCGUGAGAUGUUGGGUUAAGUCCCGCACGAGCGCAACCCUUGCCUUUAGUUGCCAGCAGUUCGGCUGGGCACUCUAAAGGGACUGCCGGUGUUAAACCGGAGGAAGGUGGGGAGUGACGUCAAGUCCUCAUGGCCUUUAUGACCAGGGCUACACACGUACUACAAUGGCCGAUACAAAGGGCAGCGACACUGCGAGGUGAAGCCAAUCCCGUAAAAUCGGUCUCAGUCCGGAUUGGAGUCUGCAACUCGACUCCAUGAAGUUGGAAUCGCUAGUAAUCGUGGAUCAGCAUGCCACGGUGAAUACGUUCCCGGGCCUU
rnacentral:rRNA from 1 species